rnacentral:rRNA from 1 species
GAUGAACGCUGGCGGCGUGCCUAAUACAUGCAAGUCGAGCGAACGGACGAGAAGCUUGCUUCUCUGAUGUUAGCGGCGGACGGGUGAGUAACACGUGGAUAACCUACCUAUAAGACUGGGAUAACUUCGGGAAACCGGAGCUAAUACCGGAUAAUAUUUUGAACCGCAUGGUUCAAAAGUGAAAGACGGUCUUGCUGUCACUUAUAGAUGGAUCCGCGCUGCAUUAGCUAGUUGGUAAGGUAACGGCUUAUCAAGGCAACGAUGCAUAGCCGACCUGAGAGGGUGAUCGGCCACACUGGAACUGGAACACGGUCCAGACUCCUACGGGAGGCAGCAGUAGGGAAUCUUCCGCAAUGGGCGAAAGCCUGACGGAGCAACGCCGCGUGAGUGAUGAAGGUCUUCGGAUCGUAAAACUCUGUUAUUAGGGAAGAACAUAUGUGUAAGUAACUGUGCACAUCUUGACGGUACCUAAUCAGAAAGCCACGGCUAACUACGUG